CAUGCAAGUCGAACGGAAAGGCCCUUCGGGGUACUCGAGUGGCGAACGGGUGAGUAACACGUGGGYGAUCUGCCCUGCACUCUGGCAUAAGCCUGGGAAACUGGGUCUAAUACCGGAUAGGACCACACACUUCRUGGUGAGUGGUGCAAAGCUUUUGCGGUGUGGGAUGAGCCCGCGGCCUAUCAGCUUGUUGGUGGGGUAAUGGCCCACCAASGCGACGACGGGUAGUCGGCCUGAGAGGGUGACCGGCCACACUGGGACUGAGAUACGGCCCASACUCCUACGGGAGGCAGCAGUGGGGAAUAUUGCACAAUGGGCGCAAGCCUGAUGCAGCGACGCCGCGUGAGGGAUGACGGCCUUCGGGUUGUAAACCUCUUUCAGUAGGGACGAAGCGAAAGUGACGGUACCUACAGAAGAAGGACCGGCCAACUACGUGCCAGCAGCCGCGGUAAUACGUAGGGUCCGAGCGUUGCCCGGAAUUACUGGGCGUAUAGAGCUCGUACGUGGUUUGUCACGUUG
rnacentral:rRNA from 1 species